UCUUUAUCAGGCCCCAUCCCACGGCCUCCCGCCUAUUGCAAAACUUGAACUGUUGUCCUAAGGAGCUUCUAGAAGACGUCAGCUCCAGGAGAAACAGACGGUCCCUGUUCUGUCCGCGGCCAUAUCAGCGGUGCUUCGUGCCCUGGCUUAUGAAAGACACUCGGACACCCGGGUUUGAUUUAAAGAACUCCCUCACCCCUGCAUGUCUGUGCUCAGAUGGGACCUUGUCGAGGCCCACCCU